rnacentral:misc_RNA from 1 species
GAACGCAUAUUGCACUUUCUGGUAUUCCGGAAAGUAUGCCUGUUUGAGGGUCAGUUAAAUAAAAAUCGGUGUUGUUGCUGCCUUUCGUGGUGACGCGUCGGAACUGAGUCGUCUUACUUUCGGUUAAGUGACUUAAAAUUUUGUAUGAUUUUCGAACGUAUUUAAAUUUUUUUUGUACGUUUGAGAUAUCGAAUGUUUUAUUAGGUUCGGUCAUCCUUAUGAUUCGCGCCGAUAAUUUUUUCAUUAAAUGACCUCAAAUCAGGUAAGAAUACCCGCUGAACUUA